rnacentral:lncRNA from 1 species
CAUACUCCUCUCUUAUCCGCGCUUUCUCUCUCUCCAGCUCCACUCUGUGGAGUUCUUGCAUUGCUUGUGUUUGCUUCUGGAUCUCCUCCUCCGCCCUUUGGUACAUCCUAUUAGUGUAGCAGCCUUCCUUGUUCUCCCUCACCACGCGCUGGAUCAGGCCCAGCAACUGUGCCCUCUGGGCCUCCUGCUCAGCGCCUGUUGCCUUGUUGUUUAACGCACAGUAGCGGUCACCGAAAAUGUCCAUCAAGUCUUGAAUGUCUUCUGGAGCUUCCCUUAAGUAGUCAUGCAAAUUGGUGUCACCUAAGUCAUCUUUCCGGGUGAAUAUGAGAAUCAUGAAACUUCUAGCCCUCUCUCCAAACAUUUUCAGGAUCUUCUCUGUGGCUUUGUGCUCUUCCUCAGUGUAACGGCCCAGUGGAACCACCAGAAGCAGAGCAUGAGGCCCUGGGGAGGUCAGAAGAAUGCAGCGAAUAAUCUCCUUGGACGUUUCAGCAUUGGGCACCUCUGUGUCGAAAAUGCCUGGUGUGUCAACUACGACAAGUUCUGUUUCCUUCCAUGAGCUGCUGCGUUUCUCACACUUCUUGGUAAUGGAUUUUGCUGCAGUGCCAGAAUGAAACACUUUCCGGCCAAGGAUGCUGUUUCCUGUUGCACUUUUUCC